rnacentral:rRNA from 1 species
CCUACGGGGGGCAGCAGUGAGGAAUAUUGGUCAAUGGCCGGAAGGCUGAACCAGCCAUGCCGCGUGAAGGUCAGUGCCCUAUGGGCGUUAAACUUCUUUUGUGCGGGAGCAAUAAUGGUCACGUGUGGCCAGACGAGAGUACCGUACGAAUAAGCAUCGGCUAACUCCGUGCCAGCAGCCGCGGUAAUACGGGGGAUGCAAGCGUUAUCCGGAUUUAUUGGGUUUAAAGGGUGCGUGGGCUGUGAGGUAAGUCAGCGGUGAAAUGCCCCCGCUCAACGGGGUGAAGUGCCAUUGAUACUGCCUGGCUGGAAUGCGGAUGCCGUGGGAGGAAUGUGUGGUGUAGCGGUGAAAUGCAUAGAUAUCACACAGAACACCGAUUGCGAAGGCAUCUCACGAAUCCGCGAUUGACGCUGAUGCACGAAAGCGUGGGUAUCAAACAGGAUUAGAUACCCGAGUAGUC